GACGAACUGUGCAAACGUUAUUCGGAAUCACUGGGCUUAAAGGGUGCGUAGGCGGUCUUGCAAGUCGGGUGUGAAAGCCCCCGGCUCAACCGGGGAACUGCGUCCUAAACUGCGAGGCUAGAGUGAGGUAGGGGUGUGUGGAACUUCCAGUGGAGCGGUGAAAUGUGUUGAUAUUGGAAGGAACGCCGGUGGCGAAAGCGACACACUGGACCUUGUCUGACGCUGAGGCACGAAAGCCAGGGGAGCAAACGGG
rnacentral:rRNA from 1 species